UGGUAACAAGAGGAGUAGACCUCUAUAAUUAGAUUUACAGUCUAAUGCUUUUCUCAGCCAUAUUACC
rnacentral:tRNA from 1 species